GAUGAACGCUAGCGGCAGGCCUAACACAUGCAAGUCGAGGGGCAGCGGGGAUAAGCUUGCUUAUCCGCCGGCGACCGGCGCACGGGUGCGCAACGCGUAUAGAAUCUGCCUUGUACUGGGGAAUAGCCCAGAGAAAUUUGGAUUAAUGCCCCAUGGUAUGUAGUAGCGGCAUCGCUUCUACAUUAAAGGCUACGGUACAAGAUGACUAUGCGUCCCAUUAGUUAGUUGGCGAGGUAACGGCUCACCAAGACGGCGAUGGGUAGGGGCCCUGAGAGGGGGAUCCCCCACACUGGUACUGAGACACGGACCAGACUCCUACGGGAGGCAGCAGUGAGGAAUAUUGGACAAUGGGCGAGAGCCUGAUCCAGCCAUGCCGCGUGCAGGAAGACGGUCCUAUGGAUUGUAAACUGCUUUUAUACGGGAAGAACAAAGGGCACGUGUGCCC
rnacentral:rRNA from 1 species